GUUCCGGUGGCCUAGUGGUCAAAGCGUUUGUCUUGGAUGUGAUCGGUCGGUCGUGGGUUCAAUUCCCGACCGAGUCA